UUCAGCCUAGCCAAUCCUCUGUCCUCUGGGCCUGGUCAGCACUUGGAUGGGAGACCAGCUGGGAAAGCUGGGUUGCUGCUGGAA
rnacentral:rRNA from 1 species